GCGGUCUGAGAAAAGAUUUCACCACGAACGCAGUGCUCGUAUCUUGUAGAUGCCCUCAGGCACCCGGCAUCUACACAUGCGUAGAUGACCCUGACCGCGGCAUCUACACUUAGGCCCCCAAGCCCCCCAAAACGUCUACGCUUCCCCAUUUUUGCGCCAAAACCGGCCAAAAACGUCUACACCUGCGUAGAUGCGCGGCACCCAAACCCAAAAAUUUUUCUCCGCCUUCGGCGGAUUUUGGGCACAUUUCUACAGUGUAGAUGGAAGAUACGAGCACUGCACGAACGAGCAAUCGACGGCAUCCUGACCUGCUGCGGAGCCACCAUCCUGCACCAUCCAAAGUUGCGUUCACUCUGACCCCGCAUACCGCAAUCCUGUUAGUAGCAUCUGUCCGACAAAUACGCGCUGGACAUGCCUGUCGUGUCAGACUUCUUGCCCGAUUGUGGCUACACUGCGUCACUGCCGUACUGGCCCUGCCGUGCGGGGGGUCUUGGGGGAUAGCAGGUGUCCCCAACGCCAAACAGGUCUCCCCUGGCUCCCCCCACGCUCGCAAUCUCUCCACUUCUUGCUAGUGGGAGGCGGUGUGCGCUCGCCUGAGGUCGAUAUAGGCGGGUUUCGGCUAGCGAGCUGGAGAGGGAGUGAGCUCGAUGGGUACGUGUCGGCACGGUCGAGCCGAAGUCCGCAGGAAUGAGUCCGCGGCGCCCUGAGCUACCGAAGGCAAUAUCAUGACCGGUAGUAUGGCUGCUCGCAGCCCCCAGCAGACCUAUAUGAUACUUCCACCAUCCGCCAGUCCAUCCCACCCCACCCCAUCCCCACACCGCAUUCCGGGGCGCACGGCAUGGAGCGCCCUGAGGGGGGAGGGGCAAGCCGGAGUACUGCGUAGCGGUAGGUGAAGUGUUUGCUAGUGAAUGCGAAUGCAGGACGCCGUCGCGAGCUCCAGGCUAGCAAUAAACAUCACGAAAGAAGUUAGUGUCAGCGGCAAUGCGGUUACUUGUUACCUUCGAGACGAGACACCGGUGCGCGCUCCACGCUGCUCCGCAUUCGGCACGCCAAACGGAGUCCGAGUGUCGUGGAGACUGCUGCCGCUUGCAGGGGCGGACGUGUUCCAGCUCGCAACUAGGCUGCUGCCAUUCGCCGCGACAACACGUAACCCAUAAAAUGCACCCACCUGGAACGGAGCCAGGCAUCCGCGGGCGCCCAUGGAGCAUAUGCGUGGGCAAGCGGAAAGAAACGGGAGAAGAAAGAAGCGGC
rnacentral:lncRNA from 1 species